UACGGAGGAUCCGAGCGUUAUCUGGAUUUAUUGGGUUUAAAGGGUGCGCAGGCGGGAGAUUAAGUCGGCGGUGAAAUUUUGCGGCUCAACCGUAAAAGUGCCUUCGAUACUGGUGGUCUUGAGUGUGGAUGAGGUAGGCGGAAUUUGUGGUGUAGCGGUGAAAUGCAUAGAUAUCACGAGGAACUCCGAUUGCUAAGGCAGCUUACUAAGCCAUAACUGACGCUCAAGCACGAAGGCGUGGGGAUCAAACAGGAUUAGAUACCCU
rnacentral:rRNA from 1 species